rnacentral:rRNA from 1 species
AGGACGAACGCUGGCGGCGUGCUUAACACAUGCAAGUCGAGCGGAAAGGCCCUUCGGGGUACUCGAGCGGCGAACGGGUGAGUAACACGUGAGCAAUCUGCCCCUAGCUCUGGGAUAGCUCCGGGAAAACCGGGAUUAAUACCAGAUACAACCACUUUAGACAUCUUUUGUGGUGGAAAGGAUUCCGGCUAGGGAUGAGCUCGCGGCCUAUCAGCUUGUUGGUUGGGUAACGGCCCACCAAGGCGACGACGGGUA